rnacentral:rRNA from 1 species
UACGUAGGGUGCAAGCGUUGUCCGGAAUUAUUGGGCGUAAAGAGCUCGUAGGCGGUUAGUCGCGUCUGCUGUGAAAACUCGGGGCUUAACUCCGGGCGUGCAGUGGGUACGGGCUGACUAGAGUGCGGUAGGGGAGACUGGAAUUCCUGGUGUAGCGGUGAAAUGCGCAGAUAUCAGGAGGAACACCGGUGGCGAAGGCGGGUCUCUGGGCCGUAACUGACGCUGAGGAGCGAAAGCGUGGGGAGCGAACAGG